GACGGAUUAAAUAAAAAUAUCGACGUCUGAAAUUUUGAAAAACAAAUAAAAAAGGCAAAGUUAUGUGAACAUACCUUGUCGUCAUACUUUUCUUCAUCUUCUUUCUCCUUUUCUUCUUCCUUCUCUUCAUCUCUUUUUUCUUCUUCCUUCUCUUCAUCUGGCUGAUGUUUCCCCAUUUUGGCAGUAUCAUCCUCCAAAUGUAGGGAUC
rnacentral:lncRNA from 1 species